rnacentral:rRNA from 1 species
UGGGGAAUUUUGGACAAUGGGCGAAAGCCUGAUCCAGCAAUGCCGCGUGUGUGAAGAAGGCCUUCGGGUUGUAAAGCACUUUUGUCCGGAAAGAAAUCCUUGGCUCUAAUACAGUCGGGGGAUGACGGUACCGGAAGAAUAAGCACCGGCUAACUACGUGCCAGCAGCCGCGGUAAUACGUAGGGUGCAAGCGUUAAUCGGAAUUACUGGGCGUAAAGCGUGCGCAGGCGGUUUGCUAAGACCGAUGUGAAAUCCCCGGGCGUCACCUAGGGAACUGCAUUGGUGAUCUGGCAAGCUAGAGUAUGGCAGAGGGGGGUAGAAUUCCACGUGUAGCAGUGAAAUGCGUAGAGAUGUGGAGGAAUACCGAUGGCGAAGGCAGCCCCCUGGGCCAAUACUGACGCUCAUGCACGAAAGCGUGGGGAGCAAACAGGAUUAGAUACCCUGGUAGUCCACGCCCUAAACGAUGUCAACUAGUUGUUGGGGAUUCAUUUCCUUAGUAACGUAGCUAACGCGUGAAGUUGACCGCCUGGGGAGUACGGUCGCAAGAUUAAAACUUAAAUGAAUUGACGGGGU